rnacentral:rRNA from 1 species
UAGGGAAUCUUCCGCAAUGGACGAAAGUCUGACGGAGCAACGCCGCGUGAGCGAAGAAGGCCUUCGGGUCGUAAAGCUCUGUUGUCAGGGAAGAACAAGUACCGGAGUAACUGCCGGUACCUUGACGGUACCUGACGAGAAAGCCACGGCUAACUACGUGCCAGCAGCCGCGGUAAUACGUAGGUGGCAAGCGUUGUCCGGAAUUAUUGGGCGUAAAGCGCGCGCAGGCGGUCCUUUAAGUCUGAUGUGAAAGCCCACGGCUCAACCGUGGAGGGUCAUUGGAAACUGGGGGACUUGAGUGCAGAAGAGGAAAGCGGAAUUCCACGUGUAGCGGUGAAAUGCGUAGAGAUGUGGAGGAACACCAGUGGCGAAGGCGGCUUUCUGGUCUGUAACUGACGCUGAGGCGCGAAAGCGUGGGGAGCAAACA